rnacentral:rRNA from 1 species
CCUAGGGGCGGCAGCAGUGGGGAAUAUUGGACAAUGGGCGAAAGCCUGAUCCAGCCAUGCCGCGUGUGUGAAGAAGGCCUUCGGGUUGUAAAGCACUUUCAGUGGGGAAGAAAGCCUUGGGGCUAAUACCCUCGAGGAAGGACAUCACCCACAGAAGAAGCACCGGCUAACUCCGUGCCAGCAGCCGCGGUAAUACGGAGGGUGCGAGCGUUAAUCGGAAUUACUGGGCGUAAAGCGCGCGUAGGCGGUCUGAUAAGCCGGUUGUGAAAGCCCCGGGCUCAACCUGGGAACGGCAUCCGGAACUGUCAGGCUAGAGUGCAGGAGAGGAAGGUAGAAUUCCCGGUGUAGCGGUGAAAUGCGUAGAGAUCGGGAGGAAUACCAGUGGCGAAGGCGGCCUUCUGGACUGACACUGACGCUGAGGUGCGAAAGCGUGGGUAGCAAACAGGAUUAGAUACCCCAUAGUC